rnacentral:misc_RNA from 1 species
UCUCCGUUGGUGAACCAGCGGAGGGAUCAUUACCGAGUUAUCAACUCCCAGACCCCUGUGAACAUACCCAACGUUGCUUCGGCGGGACCGCCCCGGCGCCCUCGGCGUCCCGGAACCAGGCGCCCGCCGGAGGACCCAAACUCUUGUUUAAACCAUAGUGGCAUAUUCUGAGUCUCACAAGAAAAAUGAAUCAAAACUUUCAACAACGGAUCUCUUGGCUCUG